CGCAAGACCAAUCGCUUAGUGUUUGCGGGAUAAAUUUGGAAAAUCAUUGUUUUUCACAUGGACAGUUAUACGUUGCGUGUUCACGAGUUGGGAAACCAUCCGCUUUGUUUGUGUUAACGACAGACAAAAAAACAAAAAAUGUGGUUUACCAAAGAGCACUACAAUGAAACAAUUAAAUAACACUUCAUUUUAGUAGGUAAUUGUAAUGAAUUUAUUACUGUUGUGAAAUGAAAUAAAUAUUUUCCUUUUCAAAUAUAUAACAAAAAAAAUUACAACGUUACUUAAAACGAAUCUGGUGGCGAAACGGAGUUCGACGGGUCUGCUAGUUAUAUAUGUAAGUUAUUUAAAAUUAUAAAAUAGCAUAGGUAAUCUGAUCAAAUGACCACUAUGUUCAAUUUAAUAUGGAAAACCUAAAACAAAAUGAGUGCAUUACAUUUAUUUUAUUUAUACCUAAUUAGAAAUACAUAAAUCGAUGAUCACUUUACACACUCAUACAACCUUAUUAGAUUGUAUAUAAACAGUCAGCAUACAUUGAUUAUAGAUUAUAAAUCUCAACAUUAUCUAUUAGACUUGAUGCAUCGUCGCUUCACACCGUUACUUAACCACUACAAGACUAUAUAACAAGUAAAUACAAUGUCUUCAUACACCAUUGUAACUGAUGAAGGCUCAUCAAACGAAGAU